rnacentral:rRNA from 1 species
CCUACGGGUGGCAGCAGUGAGGAAUAUUGGUCAAUGGACGAGAGUCUGAACCAGCCAAGUAGCGUGAAGGAUGACUGCCCUAUGGGUUGUAAACUUCUUUUAUAUGGGAAUAAAACGUUCCACGUGUGGGAUUUUGUAUGUACCAUAUGAAUAAGGAUCGGCUAACUCCGUGCCAGCAGCCGCGGUAAUACGGAGGAUCCGAGCGUUAUCCGGAUUUAUUGGGUUUAAAGGGAGCGUAGGUGGAUUGUUAAGUCAGUUGUGAAAGUUUGCGGCUCAACCGUAAAAUUGCAGGUGAAACUGGCAGUCUUGAGUACAGUAGAGGUGGGCGGAAUUCGUGGUGUAGCGGUGAAAUGCUUAGAUAUCACGAAGAACUCCGAUUGCGAAGGCAGUUCACUGGACUGCAACUGACACUGAGGCUCGAAAGUGUGGGUAUCAAACAGGAUUAGAUACCCUAGUAGUC